UACGAAGGGGGCUAGCGUUGCUCGGAAUCACUGGGCGUAAAGGGUGCAUAGGCGGAUUCUUAAGUCAGAGGUGAAAUCCUGGAGCUCAACUCCAGAACUGCCUUUGAUACUGAGAGUCUUGAGUUCGGGAGAGGUGAGUGGAACUGCGAGUGUAGAGGUGAAAUUCGUAGAUAUUCGCAAGAACACCAGUGGCGAAGGCGGCUCACUGGCCCGAUACUGACGCUGAAGCACGAAAGCGUGGGGAGCAAACAGG
rnacentral:rRNA from 1 species